AAAUCGGUUCAUAAUCUGAUAUAGCUGCCAAAUAAACCAAACUCCCAAUUUGACUUUCUGAGCCUAUUGAGGGCGCAAUUUUUAUACAACUUGCCCGAAAUUUUAGAGUUGUAUUCACAGACUAUUUCGGAAUGCGCUACAUAGCAAAACGUUUUUCUAUUUCAUCUCUAUCCAUGGCAGUCGGUUGUACGUACCGGUUUGACCCGAUCAUUCAUCGCCAAGGACUGACGCCUCAGUUUUACAAUAUACUGCUACAACAACAACAGUAUAGGAAUGCUUUUCCGUUUUCCAAAACCAUAUAUACCUAAUGUGGAUUGGAACAAAAUGUGACGAUAAUUACCUUUUCAAAUAUGUAUACUUGUUAAUGGUUGGAGGAGGUGCAGCAUAAAUUUUAUCUGGUUCUUCAGGGUGACAUCCGUAAUCAACUCCAUUUAACCAGCUUUCGUAACGAUCAGGUUGAAACCUUUUCACAAAUGUUUCCAUAGAUAUCUUCACCAUGUCUUUGCGACAAUGACAUAUUGAAGCCCUUUUGCCAUAUUCUAUCCAUCGCUUAGAAGCAAAGUUUGUCGAUUCAGCUCCGUUAAACCCAUGAUUAAAACCAGCAUGAUAUCCAUAUGGAAAA